rnacentral:rRNA from 1 species
AGCCUUUGGAGAGGAUUAAAGGUUAUACCUGCCCAAUGUUAUAUUAAUGGCCGCGGUACUUUGACCGUGCUAAGGUAGCACAAUCAAUUGGCCCUUAAUUAGGGUCAGGUAUGAAUGGAGUUACGGGGUUUAGCUGUCUCUAAACUAUUUAAUUGAAGUUGCUAUAUAGGUGAAAAAGCCUAUAUUAAGAAAAAAGACGAGAAGACCCUUAGAGUUUUACUUAAGAAAGAAUUAUUUCUUCACUAGUUUUGUUGGGGCAACAUAGGAGAAGAAUUAAACCUCCUAAAGGAUAUAAACCGAUGCUUUUAAAUGUGAACAAACUACCUUAGGGAUAACAGCAUAAUUUUAAAAAUAAGUUUGUGACCUCGAUGUUGGACUAGGAAACUUAAGGGCUAGCCGCCUUUUGGUAAGGUUCUGUUCGAACUAUAAUUCCU